rnacentral:lncRNA from 1 species
UCUUUGAAUCCAAAUUAUGGAGACAAGAUAAAUAAAUGAGUUCUGAUUCUAACUGACUGAAUGAGAGUUUAGAAAUGUAACGACCCAACUUUUUUGGGUAAGUCGAGGUCGUUAAUUUUUGACAAAAGACUUUGGUUGAUACAAAAUGAAACGUAAGUCAAUUUAAAAACAAAUUAUGUCUUCAAGUCAGGCCUGAUUUUUAAACAUUCAAGAAAACAUAAAAUAAUACUGUUUGCAACAAACGUUUGUAAACUAAAUUUCAAAUCAAUCUUAAAUAAGCGGAAGCAAUUACACGUUUCCUAUGGCAUCACGCUUCCUUCCUGCCCCUCGCCGGUUUGCCGCCUUUAUUACCUUUGCCUGAAAAUUAAACAUAAGAAGGGUGAGUAUUUUAAAUACUCAGUAAGAGACCCUCUACUGGUCUCGUCAGGGGAAAAAAUAAAUUGUUAAAGUUCUAUUGGGACACCCUGUACAGUCGCAGUCUUGUGAUCCCGUAGGAUACAAUCUCAGUCUAACGCCCCGAAGGACGUACAUAUCAGUCUGACGCCCCGAGGGACGUAUAUAUCAGUCAAGUGUUCUGCAGAACACAUAUCAGUCAAAUGCUCCCGAAGGUGCAAAAUAAAUUGGUGAUCCCGUGGGACACCUACAAGGUAAUCAUCCCAAUACAACCUAACAAUUUAUCCCCUCAUUCCAUUCAACCCAUCCUUCAGAUACUUCAAAAACAUAGAGUUCUUUCUCUCAACGUCCUAACAGUCAACUUAUCUCACUUAGGUCAUAUGUCUGUCAAUAACAUACUAAUACAUCAGUCAAUCAAACUAUACAGUCAAUACACCCCUCAGAUCACCAAUACACAGUCAUACUUUAGCGUAACGACACCCAAUCUAAACGACAAUCACAAGAUCGCAUCUGCAUCUCAUACAAGCAUAAUCUACAAUUUUCGUCCUGUCCACAUCCACACACAUAUAUAUAUAUUCCAUGACAAUCACAAUAUGCAUUCAACAUUAAGUCUACUUCAAUUCCUAUGCAUAUAUAUAAUAUUUUCAGUCAAUCCACAGUGUACAUUUAUAAGUAUCAUCUCAACAUCUUUACUCAGUCAAAGAUAUAAUCUCAGACAUACAAUUCACAAUCAUAAGUGAGUCCAGUAGAAAAUCCCUUACCUGGAUCUUUAUGUAAAAUUCCUUAGUCGAACUAACUUCAACAAACAAACCCCAAGAGUAAAGAAUCGAACACCAACAAAGCUUAAGGCGUAACUCAAGGACACUAACUCCAAAUCACCGAUGUCGCCUUCAAGAACAAAGAUCAAUUCAACCAAUUAAACAACAUCACAUCUUAAUGUAUUUACAAAUGUAAGACCUUAUUACCGAACAAUCUCAUCCUUACCAAUAUCUUGUAACAAGACUUUGACAAUUGACGUUUAAAUAGAAGUUGCCGCAGGAUCUACACAAAAGACAUCGUGCAAAACACUUCUGCACCGCGAACCGGUCCGCGAUUCGUAAAUGGGACAGCGGGUAUCGACGAAGGCAGAACGGUUCGGACGUUCAACAGCAGUUACGCGCGGACGGGAGUAGCCGGCAACGUAGCCGAAUUCGUGCGAUGCGGCGUGACCUGCGUCGGCGAGGCUGUUCGUGACUGAGGCGUGCGACUUGCCUCGCGGACGGAGAUAGAGACGGCGGAGACGGUUGCAGAACCGUGGCUUCGACAGAGACAGAACCGGCUGAGACGGCUGGGCAGCGGCGGAAGAGCAACGGCGCUGCAGAUCUGGACUGGCAGCGGCGCGGUCUUGCUUCGCGGCGGGGUUGCGGACGGAAGAAGAAAAUGGAAGGAAAGGAUCGGCGGCUGGCUGCGGUUGGCGGCGGGACGGGAAGAAGAAGAUAGAGGUGGUGGUUGUGGCUGGGCUGCGGCUGGCCACGAACAGAAGGAGAAGAGGACGGUUGGGGCGGUUGCUGCACGAACGGAUGGGCGGCUGCUAGGGUACCGGAAGGAGAAGAAAAGAAAAAUGAGGGAAGGUUGUGUGCGCGCGAGAGAGAGAGAGAUAAAUUUCUUUUUCUUUUCUUUUUAUUUAAAUUAAAUAUAAAUAAAUAUAAUAUAUUAUAUAUAUAUAAUAAAAACAAAAUAUAUAUAUAUAUACACCUUUGGGGCAUUACAUUCUUCCCUCCUUAAGAAACUUUCGUCCUCGAAAGUUUUACUCCUGAAAUAACUCUGGAUAACGAGUCCUCAUCUCUUCCUCUCGCUCCCAUGUCGCCUCUUCAAUUCGAUGAUUCCGCCACAAAACCUUUACUAAUGGAAUGCUUCUAUUACGAAGCAUCUUUACCUCUCUAGCCAGAAUCUCCACAGGUUGUUCUACAUAGCUCAAAUGCUCAUCAAUCUCCAAGGGUUCAUAGUCCACUACAUGAGAUGUAUCGGCCACAUACUUCCUCAACAUCGAAACAUGAAAAACAUUAUGAACUGCAGAGAGAGAUGGUGGUAAUGCCAAGCGAUACGCCACAACACCAACCCUCUCUAAGAUCUCAAAUGGUCCAACAAAACGAGACUUAACUUUCCUUUCUUCUCAAAACGCAUAACACCCUUCAUAGGUGCUACCUUCAAGAAUACCUUUUCUCCCACAUCGAACUUAAGGUCUUUUCGCCGUACAUCCGCAUAACUCUUCUGUCUACUCUGCGCUGUUUGCAUACGUGCUCUAAUCUUUUGAAUAGCCUCAUUAGUAGACCGAACUAAUUCAGGUCCCAUCAAUCUAUGUUCACCAACCUCACCCCAACAAACAGGGGUUCUACAACAUUUGCCAUACAAAGCCUCAAAUGGUGUCAUACCGAUGGUAGCCUGGAAACUGUUGUUAUAAGAAAACUCCAUCAAAUGUAGAUGAGAGUCCCAACUACCUGGAAACUCUAUAGCACAAGCUCGUAGCAUAUCCUCUAAAACUUGGUUCAAACGUUCAGUUUGACCAUCAGUCUGUGGAUGAAAGGUUGUACUGAAAUCCAAUCUCGUACCCAUAGCAGUCUGAAGUCCCUUCCAAAACUUGGAAGUAAACCGUGCAUCCCUAUCAGAAACAAUCGAUACAGGCACUCCAUGCAGUCUCACAAUCUCAGUUAAAUACAACUCUGCCCACUUACUAGCAGUAUAAGUGGAUUUCCCUGGUACAAAAUGUGCCGAUUUCGUAAGCCUAUCGACAAUAACCCAAAUCACUGUGUAACCCUUCAGGGUUUUAGGCAAUUAUAUAAUAAAAUCCAUAGAUACAUUCUCCCACUUCCACUCUAAUAUACUCAAAGGUUGCAACAAACCUGUUGUUUUCUAUCUUGGUGCUUUAACCUACUAGCACACCAAGCACUUACUAACAAGAUUUUCCAUUUCUCUCUUCAUAUUACGCUAGUAACAAACUCUUUUCAGAUCCGGAUACAUUUUUGUGCUACUUGGAUGCAUGAGAAAUGGGAAACUAUGAGUCUCAACCAAUAACCUUGUCUUAAUUGCAUUUUCUGUUGGCUCACAUAAUUCUCUCUCAAACAUAAGUUCAUCAUCAAAGGAUAUGGAAAACUCCUUAACUUGCCCUACUUCUACUAGGCAAUGCUUCUCAAUCAAAUAAGGAUCAAUGAAUUGAACCACAAGAAUUCUUUGUCUCAAGAUCAGAUGUACUGACAACUGAGCUAACUGUGAGGUGACUCCCCCACUGAAACUACAAUCUCAGCUCUCUCGUGGUUUUUGUCUAAUGAAACCUGUCUGGUAAUAAGUGCUGUCAAAAUGUGAUACUUUUCUACGAAGAGCACCAACUUCCACAUUCGCCUUACAUAGAUGGUACAAAAUCUCACAAUCAUAGUCAUUUACUAACUCAAAGCAUCUUUGCUAUCUCAUACUCAACUUCUUUUGAGUGAAGAAGUAUUUUAUACUCUUUUGGUUAGAAAAUAUCUAUAUCUUUUCAUCAUUCAUAUAGUGCCUUCAAAUCAUUAAUGUAAAAACCACAACUGUCAAUUCCAUAUCAUAAGUUGGACAAUUUUCCUCACGAGGAGUACAAGCAACUACUUUAACUUGUUGAAUAAGAAUACCUUUUAAACUUUCCUAAAAGCAUCACUAUAAAUUACGGAACAUUCUGAACCAUCAUGUACGGUAAGCACGGGAGUUGUACAAGCUUCUGCUUAAGAUCCUGAGCACUAUCCUCAUAGGCUUUGUCCCAAACAAACAGAGUCCCUUUUUCUUAGUUAACUGAGUCAAAGGAGUAGCUAUACGAGAAAAUUCUUAUACAAACCGUUAGUAAUAACCUGCUAACCCUAAAAGACUAUGAACCUCAACUGACUAUGAAAAGUCGAGGCCAACUAGUAACAACUUCAAUCUUUUGUGAGAUCCACAUAAAUGUCACCUCUAGAUACUACAUGGCUUGGAAAGAUACUUGGCCUCAUCCAAAACUCACAUUUUGAAAACUUUGCAUACAAUUCGUUGACUCGAAGAGCCUCUUAAAACCAUGUUAAAUGCUCCUCAUGCGCUGUCUCUAUUUUGGAAUAAAUUAAGAUAUCGUCAAUAAAUACAAUCAUGAAAGUGUCUAAGAGAUCGUUAAAACACUUUGUUCAUCAAGUCGUAAACAUUGUUUGAGCAUUUUCCACUCAAAAGACAUCAUAAUGAACUCAUGAUGUCCAUAUCUCGAAAGAAAAUCUGCCUUAGGAAUGUCACUGUUCUCUAAUCCUCAACAAGUCAUAACCUGAAUGUAAUUCAAUCUUAAAGAACACGGACUUAUUGCAGUUGAUCAAACAAAUCCUCAUUCAUUGGUAAAGAAUAUUUAUUCUUAACCGACACCUUAUUCAACUUUCUACAAUCGAAACAUAAGUGCAUCGACCCAUCUUUCUUCUUAAUAAACAAAAAUUGGUGCACCCCAAGAUAACAUACUUCGUCGAAUGUAGUCCUUGUCAAACAUUUCUUUCAAUUGCACUUCAAAUCUUUCAACUCUGUUGGGGCCAUUUUGUAUGAAGCUUUAGAUAUAGGAACGAGUCUAACUCUAUCUCAAUAGGAAGACCAAUUUCUGUUUAGCGCGGUAUUCUUAGAAACUCUUCUAGAAAAAUAUCAUAAUACUUUUUCACCACUGAUUCAAAUAACAAAGAAACAUCGACUUCUUUGAUGUCUACCACACUAGUCAAAUACAACAGGUACCCUGGUCAAGCAACUUACUAACCUUCAUAGCUGGGAUAACUUUUAGCAAAACGAUAGUUCCAACCUCUUUGUACUUGAAACUAGCCUCUGGAGAAGGAUUAGAAACUACAUUUUCGCUGAACAUUUUAUGUUUACAUGGUUAAACUACAUUCCAAUUUUCAAACUCCAAACUAGUAACUUUUCAUUCACGAGAAACUCAAAAUUGUUUCUUAAAGUCACAUCAAGACAACCAUGCUCAUCUUCCUUGUUUCUUUUCCAAUACCUCCUUUCUAAAACCAUUUAAUGUGUUUCGUAUAACUUGACCGUGUAUUUAGUCCUCUUUAAAACCACCUACAUAACUUAUUUUUCCUUAGAUUUCCAAUCACAAAACAGACAAUUUCGCUAACAACGUCUUACUUUUCUACUACUCGACCACUCCUUUGAACACCUCUACAUGGCAACAUUUUUCCUAAAUUUCACCAUUAAAUCCUUCACCAUUAAAUCAUAACAUUCAUGUAAUUCUAGUUUAACUUAGGCAAGGUCAUAUACAUAAACCAUACAUAUAAGCAUAAAGCAUACCUGACGAGAGACGAAGGGUCGCGUUAGCCAUAGGGACACAAAAACAUAGACUUACAUCGUAAGUCAGUCUACAGAACCUAAAACUUAGGCUCUGAUACCAACUGUAACGACCCAACUUUUCUAAGUAAGUCGAGAUCGUUAAUUUUUAACAAAUAAAGACUUUGAUUAAUAUAAAACAAAACGUAAGAAUUUAAAAAAAAACAUCUUCAAGUCAGGCCUGAUUUUAAACAUUCAAGAAAACAUAAAAUAAUACUGUUUGCAACAAACGUUUGUAAACUAAAUUUCAAAUCAAUCUUAAAUAAGCGGAAGCAAUACACGUUUCCUAUGGCAUCACGCUUCCUUCCUGCCCCUCGCCGGUUUGCCGCCUUUAUUACCUUUGCCUGAAAAUUAAACAUAAGAAGGGUGAGUAUUUUAAAUACUCAGUAAGAGACCCUCUACUGGUCUCGUCAGGGGAAAAUAAAUUGUUAAAGUUCUAUUGGGACACCCUGUACAGUCGCAGUCUUGUGAUCCCGUAGGAUACACAUCUCAGUCUAACGCCCCGAAGGACGUACAUAUCAGUCUGAC